AAAAAUAACUUAUUGAUUAUCAAUUAUGAUGUUGUUUACGAGAUAGGAUCGCUUGCUAGCUAACAUUAGCCUUAACAGUUACAAUAGUGUUUAGUUGUCUGCGUUUAAAUGCAUUUAAAUGUUUUAUAUUACCAGGCUCGGCAUAUAAAAUUAUAUGUUGUUAAAUGUUGUUUAAUAACAUGAAACUGUAUAUUAAUGUCACUAUCAUUAUUUUGUUUCUCAGUUUCUGACAAGAACAAGGCAGGAGAGGUUUCCGGAAGGGUCUCAACUUUCACAUGGUUUGUGGAGUUGCAAUCCCACACAAAAGUAAAGUCAUGUGAACGGUUUGUUGUCCCCUUCCUGUUCGAUAGCUGUUCUGCGACUGCUGUCGUGCUGUUGGGGGAGCUGUAGUCCCAGUGAAGCUCUGGCAAGCCAUUCUUACCAUCUGCUCUCUGCCUUUCUCACAUGCUUCCUGUGUGCGUCUCAUCUCCCCGAGAGACUGGCUCCUGGACGCUUCGACUACAUCCGUCACAGUCACCAGCUCUUUCACAACCAUGAACCAUGGGGGUUCUUGCACUGGGCAUCCUGCUCAACCUGGGCAUCAUCUGCAUCUUUAGUGCCGGUUUGCCGCGAACACCUUCAUCAGGAGUAAAAAGCUUUCUUGACCACUGCACACCUCACUGAGCACCUUCCUGGACGAUUUUACACUAUAGCGCACUUAUACAGUCACUUUCAAUUAUACUUUUCUACUAAGAAGCUAAACGUUUAGGCUCUCACUCAUUGUAGUUUCCUUUUAUACCUACGGUUUAUUAUCUCAGCUGAAACCCUAAUGAUAAUCGUGAGCUUUCAGGUGGUGUUAUUUUAUUCUUUAGUCAUCACUGUGAAAGGUUGAGGGUUGAAUGACUCUAAUAUUGAUUUUUACAGGUUAUAUUCUAACAUAGUUUGGGGUUUCAAUAAACACAACAUGAUGCUUGUGUCACUCCGUAUUAAUGUUGUGUAACAUUAACUGGAAAAUAGCAUUAAUCAGGGAUUUUAUAUUUGCAUAUAACAUCAUUAAUAUAAUUAAUCCAGUUUUAUUAUUGUUGCAUAUCAAAAUACACAAAAAUUAUGGUGGGCAUCAUAUCUAAACUACUGGCAGGUUGGUGAAUUUUUCCCCUUUAAAUAUUCAUAUUUGUAAUGUCCCUUUUUAUUAUAAUUUGGAUUUACUGGAACACCUCAGGUGCAGUAACAAAUUAAUUAAGGGCUUUUUUUCACUGUUACGUAUCGUGAAGGCAUCAUUCUCCUACUGAACUGCAUCUCAUGGGAAUAUGGGGCUGCACUGGAGUCCUUCACUGAGGUUUAGAUGUUUCUAGACAUUUGGGGAACAGCUUUGAUUCAUGUGUCGUCCUCUGCAUCUGCUCACAUUUCUGUGGUAGUGUUGUUUUGUUCAUUGCAGGUUUAUGGCAUACAAUACACUAUUUAUAUUCAUACACACGCUUUUCAUAUUUAACUGCAUUUUGCCAAUGCACUUGUGGAUCCAGUGCAAGCUCGAGAUUGUUUUUUUACUCAUGUAAUUAGUUCCGUUCUGUUCUUAAACCAGAAAUCAAAGCUCGUCGUUGUGUAUGGCUAAACUCUUAACCUCUGUCUCUCAUUUUGUCCUUUUUCUUUUUCGUUUGGUCUUUAAAUCUGAGGAUUCAAAUAUGCAAUCAUUAUCACAAUAUCUUUUAUUUGCCAUUGUCAAUAUUUUUGUAACAAAUGUGUAAAAAUAUGAAAGUGCCUAGAAUUAAACGGACUCAUUGUUCACUGCAG